GAUGAAGAACGCAGCGAAAUGCGAUACUUGGUGUGAAUUGCAGAAUCCCGUGAACCAUCGAGUCUUUGAACGCAAGUUGCGCCUCAAGCCAUUAGGUUGAGGGCACGUCUGCCUGGGCGUCACAUAUCGUUGCCUGAUGCCAGUUUCCUCGUGAUGGGUGACUGUACAGGGCGAAUGAUGGCUUCCCGUGAGCAUUGUUGCCUCAUGGUUGGUUGAAAAUUGAGUCCUUGGUAGGGAGCGCCGUGAUAGAUGGUGGUUGAGUGACGAACGAGACCCAAUCAUGUGAGACCCCUACCGAAUUUGGCCUUCAUGACCCACAUGCGUCUUUGGAACGCUCAUGACGAGACCUCAGGUCAGGCGGGGCUACCCGCUGAGUUUAAGCAUAUCAAUAAGCGGAGGA
rnacentral:misc_RNA from 1 species